rnacentral:rRNA from 1 species
UACGUAGGGAGCGAGCGUUGUCCGGAUUUACUGGGUGUAAAGGGUGCGUAGGCGGGUUUGCAAGUCAGGCGUGAAAUACCGAGGCUUAACUUCGGAGCUGCGCUUGAAACUGUAAAUCUUGAGUGAAGUAGAGGCAGGCGGAAUUCCCAGUGUAGCGGUGAAAUGCGUAGAUAUUGGGAGGAACACCAGUGGCGAAGGCGGCCUGCUGGGCUUUAACUGACGCUGAGGCACGAAAGUAUGGGGAG